UCCCUGGUGGCUCAGAUGGUAAAGCGCCUGCCUACAAUGCAGGAUAUCCGGGUUCGACCCUGGGUCCGGAAG
rnacentral:tRNA from 1 species